GUGUCAGCAGCCGCGGUAAUACGGGGGGUGCAAGCGUUGUUCGGAAUUAUUGGGCGUAAAGAGCGUGUAGGCGGCCGGAUGUGUCAGAUGUGAAAGCCCUGGGCUUAACCCAGGAAGUGCAUUUGAAACUGUCCGGCUUGAGUAGGGGAGAGGGAAGUGGAAUUCCUGGUGUAGAGGUGAAAUUCGUAGAUAUCAGGAGGAACACCGGUGGCGAAGGCGACUUCCUGGCCCUAUACUGACGCUGAGACGCGAGAGCGUGGGUAGCAAACAGGAUUAGAUACCCUGGUAGUCCACGCCGUAAACGAUGUUCACUAGGUGUUGGGGGUAUUGACCCCCUCAGUGCCGGAGCUAACGCAUUAAGUGAACCGCCUGGGGAGUACGGUCGCAAGACUAAAACUCAAAUGAAUUGACGGGG
rnacentral:rRNA from 1 species